rnacentral:rRNA from 1 species
CCUACGGGGGGCAGCAGUGGGGAAUAUUGGACAAUGGGGGCAACCCUGAUCCAGCCAUGCCGCGUGUGUGAAGAAGGCCCUCGGGUUGUAAAGCACUUUCAGUGAGGAAGAACGCCUGGUGGUUAAUACCCAUCAGGAAAGACAUCACUCACAGAAGAAGCACCGGCUAACUCCGUGCCAGCAGCCGCGGUAAUACGGAGGGUGCGAGCGUUAAUCGGAAUUACUGGGCGUAAAGCGCGCGUAGGUGGCUUGAUAAGCCGGUUGUGAAAGCCCCGGGCUCAACCUGGGAACGGCAUCCGGAACUGUCAAGCUAGAGUGCAGGAGAGGAAGGUAGAAUUCCCGGUGUAGCGGUGAAAUGCGUAGAGAUCGGGAGGAAUACCAGUGGCGAAGGCGGCCUUCUGGACUGACACUGACACUGAGGUGCGAAAGCGUGGGUAGCAAACAGGAUUAGAUACUCGAGUAGUC